UACGUAGGGGGCUAGCGUUGUUCGGAAUUACUGGGCGUAAAGCGCGCGCAGGCGGUCUUCCAAGUCAGUGGUGAAAGCCCGGAGCUCAACUCCGGAACUGCCAUUGAAACUGUAAGACUUGAGGAUGAGAGAGGUGAGUGGAAUUCCCAGUGUAGAGGUGAAAUUCGUAGAUAUUGGGAAGAACACCGGUGGCGAAGGCGGCUCACUGGCUCAUAUCUGACGCUCAGGCGCGACAGCGUGGGGAUCAAACAGG
rnacentral:rRNA from 1 species